rnacentral:rRNA from 1 species
GACGAACGCUGGCGGCGUGCCUAAUACAUGCAAGUUGAGCGAUGAAGAUUUGUGCUUUCACCAAUUUGAAGAGCAGCGAACGGGUGAGUAACGCGUGGGGAAUCUUCCUUUUAUCGGGGGACAACAUUUUGAAACGAAUGCUAAUACCGCAUAACAACUUUAAACAUAAGUUUUAAGUUUGAAAGAUGCAAUUGCAUCACUAAAAGAUGAUUUUAGGGUGUAUUAGUUAGUUGGUGAGGUAAAGGCUCAGCAAGGCGAUGAUACAUAGCCGACUGGAAAGGGUGAUCCGCCAAAAUUGGAAUUAAAAAAGGCCCAAACUACUACGGGAGUCAGCAAUAGGGAAACUUCGGAAAUGGACGAAAGUCUGACCGAGCAAAGCCGCGUGAGUGAAGAAGGUUUUCGGAUCGUAAAAAUCUGUUGGUAGAGAAGAACAUUGGUCAGAGUAAAAAGCUCAUCAAGUGACGGUAACUAACCAGAAAGAAACGGCUAACUACGUG